rnacentral:rRNA from 1 species
GACGAACGCUGGCGGCGUGCUUAACACAUGCAAGUCGAACGGAAAGGCCCUGCUUUUGUGGGGUGCUCGAGUGGCGAACGGGUGAGUAACACGUGAGUAACCUGCCCUUGACUUUGGGAUAUCUUCAUGAAACUGGGGCUAAUACCGGAUAGGAGCUCCUGCUGCAUGGUGGGGGUUGGAAAGUUUCGGCGGUUGGGGAUGGACUCGCGGCUUAUCAGCUUGUUGGUGGGGUAGUGGCUUACCAAGGCUUUGACGGGUAGCCGGCCUGAGAGGGGGACCGGCCAAAGGGGGACUGAGAUACGGCACAGACUCCUACGGGAGGCAGCGGUGGGGAAUAGUGCACGAUGGGCGGAAGCCUGGUGCAGCAACGCCGCGUGCGGGAUGACGGCCUGCGGGUAGUAAGCCAUAUUGGCCUGUGACGAAGCGUGAGUGACGGUAAUGGGUAAAGAAGCACCGGCUAACUACGUG